UACAGAGGUCCCGAGCGUUGUUCGGAUUCAUUGGGCGUAAAGGGUGCGUAGGUGGCGCUGUAAGUGGGUGGUGAAAUACCCCGGGCUUAACCUGGGGAACUGGCGUCUCGAAACUACGGAGCUGGAGUGUGGCAGGAGGGAGGGUAGAAUUCCACGUGUAGCGGUAGAAAUGCGUAGAUAUCGGGAGGAAUACCAGUGGCGGAAGGCGGCCUUCUGGGCCGUUCCUGACGCUCAGACGCGAAAAGCUAGGGGAGCAAACGGG
rnacentral:rRNA from 1 species